CAUAAUUGCUUUAAUCAUAGUUUGGUUUAUAAUAGCAAAGUUGUUUUUACAACUAUAGCAAUAAAUGCUUUGUGUAAUAGAAUUAGACGGACCCGGGGGCGGUACCCGGCGCCUCCACCAUAAAAUGAGGGGGCGAAAUAGGUUUGACGUUAGUUUAAAGAUAAAGACUUUGCUCGGUAUGGUACCACCGUUAUCGGACUAAAAUUAUAAAUGCUAACGAUAAUAGAUUAGCACUCGCUGCUUAGAUUCUAGGCUAGCGCGGUCUGGGGCACCGGGCAACAGAAGUUCCUACG
rnacentral:tmRNA from 1 species